GCGAGACAAUUUGGCCCACAGGUGAAAUCAGACGGGCCGGCGAUCGCAGCGGCACUAUUUCACAGGCUACGGCGACCUGACGCAGGGAGCCGCGUGUUUCAGAGGAGGUGAGCACAUGUGAGGAGGAUGUUUUCCCCUACUGGUGACUACUGUUAAACACCCUUCUCUCCAGCGCCCAACAAUCUGCACAUAUUAUGUUUUUGCUUUGUUUUGCAUGCGGUGGGUGUCUGCCGAUGAGGCUGCUAAAACGCCGGGUUGACGAAGCCGGUGAAUCGGAGAUCGGGCGGAGGUGGCCGGGGUGGAGGGAUGCGAAGCGGCAGAAGGUUGAGAGAGAAGCGAUGCCACCAUUUGGUCUGGCUGAGUCAUUUCAAUGAUUUCCUGAUUUUUUUUUAAAAAAACAGCCAAGGUUAGAGAGAAGAAUGUCGUCUUAAAAUAGAUUCUCCCUCACUAAUCGGUACUUGACCUCUUUUGACAAGCGAUGCUGGAGAGUGUUAACAGGAAUUAGUCACCAUCUUUUUGUUUGUAUUGGAAGCCUAUUGACUCCCGACCAGAAAACAGGACCUUUACAGGGAGUUUAAUGAACGCAAUAUUUAAAUAUAUGAAACAAAAAUAGAAAUAAAAAACAUACUGCGGGCACAUUUGAAUAUGGAAAUAUUGUUGGAUCCUUUGAACCCUUCCUCUCCCCCCCCCCCCCCCCGGGAGGUAAAGGCAUGAACCCGCUGACCCGAUCGCCGUGUUGUGUUGUGCACACAGACACCGGUCCACACCGGUUAGCUGUCCCCCAGGAGAGGGGUGUGUCCCUGUGUGUGUGCGUGUGUGUGUUUUGUGUUUCAGUGAAUAGCCGGCUGUUCUUUAUGCAUCGGGGGUUCGUCCCAGCGGAUCAGCGCCCUGGAAUCCCUCUGUUUUGUGGAGGAGAAACACUGUCCUUUGGGGUGAGGUAGUAGGUUGUAUAGUUUUAGGGUCACACCCUUCCUGUCAGAUAACUAUACAACUUACUGUCUUUCCUGAAGUGGCUGUAAUAUCGUCGGACGGGUCGACACUGGGGACGUGUUCUCAGGACAUAACUCAUUUACAGCUUGUUUUGGAUUGUAAGUUGCAUAACGUUGUUUUUUCAGAACUGUCAAGGUUGCACUUUAAGUAAAAUGCUUUUUUUAUGCUUUAAAUGCAGGUGUUAUGUUUCCUACAACUUUUACUUUCACAAAACUGUCUUUUUUUUAAAUUCCCAUUUAUGUUUUUUUAAUCACAGCUCAACUCAGUCACUUACGUCAUUUUCCGUAUGCUCUGAUUCUUAAAAAUAUGAAUGUGUGUUUAUUUUAGAAGUGUAAAAGUUCAGCCAGCCCGUACGACCGGUCCAGAACCGUGAUGUUCGAACAGGGUGAGGUAGUAGGUUGUGUGGUUUCAGGGUAGUGAUUUUGCCCGCUCAGAAGAUAACUAUACAACAUACUGCCUUCCCUGAAGGGCAGCAAUACUUCACCGUACAGACCACAGGGGACACCCCCCCAAAACCUAGAACUCCCUACCUGGAAAUGACCACGGCCAAUCACAGCCUCAGAAGUGACCAGCAGGUAAACCCGGUUCACUGUCAUUUGUUUAUUCUCCUCCAAAUAUGAAAUAAAAAAUAAGAUCAAGAA